UGGGGAAUUUUGGACAAUGGGGGAAACCCUGAUCCAGCCAUCCCGCGUGUGCGAUGAAGGCCUUCGGGUUGUAAAGCACUUUUGGCAGGAAAGAAACGUCGCGGGUUAAUACCCCGCGAAACUGACGGUACCUGCAGAAUAAGCACCGGCUAACUACGUGCCAGCAGCCGCGGUAAUACGUAGGGUGCAAGCGUUAAUCGGAAUUACUGGGCGUAAAGCGUGCGCAGGCGGUUCGGAAAGAAAGAUGUGAAAUCCCAGAGCUUAACUUUGGAACUGCAUUUUUAACUACCGGGCUAGAGUGUGUCAGAGGGAGGUGGAAUUCCGCGUGUAGCAGUGAAAUGCGUAGAUAUGCAGAGGAACACCGAUGGCGAAGGCAGCCUCCUGGGAUAACACUGACGCUCAUGCACGAAAGCGUGGGGAGCAAACAGGAUUAGAUACCCUGGUAGUCCACGCCCCUAAACGAUGUCAACUAGCUGUUGGGGCCUUCGGGCCUUGGUAGCGCAGCUAACGCGUGAAGUUGACCGCCUGGGGAGUACGGUCGCAAGAUUAAAACUCAAAUGAAUUGACGGGGUCAUAGCUGUUUCCU
rnacentral:rRNA from 1 species